GGGUCGAUGCCCGAGCGGUU
rnacentral:siRNA from 1 species